AUUGAACGCUGGCGGCAGGCCUAACACAUGCAAGUCGAACGGUAACAGGAAGCAGCUUGCUGCUUCGCUGACGAGUGGCGGACGGGUGAGUAAUGUCUGGGAAGCUGCCUGAUGGAGGGGGAUAACUACUGGAAACGGUAGCUAAUACCGCAUAAUGUCGCAAGACCAAAGAGGGGGACCUUCGGGCCUCUUGCCAUCGGAUGUGCCCAGAUGGGAUUAGCUUGUUGGUGGGGUAACGGCUCACCAAGGCGACGAUCCCUAGCUGGUCUGAGAGGAUGACCAGCCACACUGGAACUGAGACACGGUCCAGACUCCUACGGGAGGCAGCAGUGGGGAAUAUUGCACAAUGGGCGCAAGCCUGAUGCAGCCAUGCCGCGUGUAUGAAGAAGGCCUUCGGGUUGUAAAGUACUUUCAGCGGGGAGGAAGGGAGUAAAGUUAAUACCUUUGCUCAUUGACGUACCCGCAGAA
rnacentral:rRNA from 1 species